GUUAGAUUUACCUUAAGUUACGCUUGUUUCGGAUAACAUUAGGUUAAAAUAACAGGGGAAAUGUUAAUUUGUCCUCAAAGGCUGGGAAAACACGAAAGACGCAGAAAAUGCGGAACACAGCUUAGCUAAGCUAUUUAAAGGCAGAAGAAUGAAGAAGAGCCCUCCAGGUGGUGACAGAGGGAUGUACAGAAACCCCCCAGAUCCAGUCCAGAUCUCCAGUCUGGGACAAGACAGAACUAAUAAGCAAGUUGUUCCUCUCCCACCGCAGAUUGGAACCCCUCAAAGACAACAAAGCAGAAUUAAGACAGCAAUGAACACCGCAGAGAGAUACAGAACGGCAGUCAGUAACAUACGCAGGGG